ensembl:lncRNA
UUUUAUUUCAAUUAAUAGUUUUAUUUUUAUUUUUAGUUACCAAUAAUUACCCUGCAAUAAAAUGAAAGUGAAUUUAUUAAAUAUAAUAACUGUAAAUUAAAAGAAAAAAUAAUUAUAUAGGUGGCAUUUGAAAUGUUGAUCAUCUGAUGUUUUCGGAAAAUAAACCAUCUGCUGUUUAUAUGAUGUUUAUGGCAAAUUCAUACUGAACCUGUUGAAAUCUAAACUUUAUUACACUGAAUCAUACAUUACAAUUUUGCAUCCUGUUUGCUACUGAAUGCUUCCUAAAUCCAGGAAUUGAAUUUGGAUUUAAAAGCAUCUCAAUUCAGUUCUGAAUGUUGCUCAACUCUGCGAUACCAGAAACACGCAGCAUCAGGCAUUUACAUAAGAAUCUGUGAUUGUGUGUGAUCAUGUAUGAAAUGUGCACGGAGUCUUGUAUGUGCUCUUAUUCGAUCUGAUGAUUCUGGAGCAGCAGAACAGCAAUACGUCAAUCACACGUUCAGCUGCUCAUCAGCGAGUCAGUCGCUCCUGACCUCCAUCCAGGCCUCGCUGUCUCUCUCAAGCAUCAACAUCUGCCAACAUUCAAGCACCAAGAUUAACGAGACGCUGGAAAUGUUUUAUGGUUUUCUCUUGUCAGGAGGCUGAAUUUUCUCUAAACCAGUUUAUGGUCAAUUACACUGGCUGUGUUCAGAAUGGAGCAAACUGCAAUGUAUAUACUGCAUAUAUAUCUAUUUUUUUGUAUGCAGUGUGCAGUGAUAAAUGUUUUAAAUGGUGCUACAGUACAUUGUCAGUGCGUUGCAUUGUGGGAUGCAUUUUUCCACUGUGUGCUUGUUGUGUACUGUACAUAUGAGUAAAUGCAGUAGGUCAUCUGGGUUCUUUGCAUUUGAGAAACAGUGCAGAAAUAGUGCGAGUAGUAUGUUAUUCUGAACACAGCCACUCUCACACAUCCUCUGAGCAUCAUGUCGUUUCUUCAUAUCAAAGAUAGCAUGUCCAAUAAAAGCUCAUCAGCUCUCAAACGGGAUCUUCUUUGUGAUUCAUACAUGUUGUGGUGUUCAAGCCGAGAGUCUGUUCUCUCAUCAGUCCAGGCGGCGGAGCAGAUGCCCCUCUCAUCUCCAGAAACUAGGUCUUACGGUCCCCGGGCCCCUCGUCAGUCUGGUCUCCUCCAGUGUCUCCUAUUGAUUCUCACACACAGACGUUUACCACACAUGCUUUAUUUUACAGAAAAUCCUCAUUGACAUCCACCGGACCCCAUUACACACUAAUUCAGAGCGUCUCUUGUGGAAAAACGGUCCUUUUAAUAAAACAUCUGAAGUUCACAAAACUGUAUAAUGCUGUCAUUAUACAGCAAUGGUUCUGACCCACAUAACCUACAUGUGGCUCAUUAGUGUUGUAUCCAUUGUACAAAAGUGCACUACUGAUGAACUGACGCUGAAGAGAGUUAAAGACGGAGAUCAGUUCAGUCUUAACAUCGCUCUUGAAUCGUUUUCCAUAUAAAACGCGCAUGAGAGAGAUGUAUUGUAAUUUUAGGUGAUCUACAGUGGUAUUUUAUUUCCUCUGAACGUUUUGGAAAAUGUGAGAUUGCUGUGCUCUGAGAUGAUUUUGUCAUGUGACGUCACUGCCAUCUAGUGGUGAAACGCCAAACCAUUGAGAAUCUCCAUCCACGAUUCUCAGGUUCACAGUUUUGAACAGUUUCACCUGCCAUAUGCUCAAGAAUAAUUUUAUGCAGAUAUAAAUAUGACUGUUAGUCCCGUAAUACAUGGCAGAAGGUGUCACUGUUGAAGGUUUUUCUACCUUUAUGGUCAUGAAACUCUCAUGAACUUUAUUUCCGCGGCACUGUUCUCAGAUCAGAAAAACUAAAUUAGUGUAGGAUGCAGCCUUUUUAGAGUUAAAUAAGAUUUGAUUUGACGAGUAAAGUGUGUGUGGAAAGAAAAGGGGGUCCUGUCUUAAACUCAACAGUUGUUAAUAUUUCUACUUGUAAUUAAUUAGGUUCAGGAAUGCUAUUCUUCGGAAAGUAUCCAUUUGGGAUUUCUGCAUGCCUUCUUUACACUUUAUGACAUCUCGAUCCCUAAACGUGCCGAACGCAUCCCUGUACUCGUGUAUAAUUCAUGAGAUGUCUUUAUAGCUCGCUGUGAGAUUGGAUGAAAACAUUGUUUGACUCGUUUGAACUCGCUGUCUGAAUAUGAGCCAUAAUCUAGAGAGAUGUUUCACAGCAUUCAGACUGAGUUUGUGAAUAUUUCAGGUAUUACAUGGAACACAUAGAAACCUAAUCAUGCAAAGUUCUUAAUGUAAAAAGCAAUAUAUUCUUGUCUUUUGCUUGCUUUUACUCUUCAUCUAUCUAUGGUUCAGAGAUGUCAGUGGCAGAGAGAAAGAUUUGUGGGCAUUCAGUGGCAUUAAUAAAGAGUUAUUGAGCUCAGAUAUCAUUGGCACAUCGUUGAUCUUUGAAGUCAAUGUGUCAUUUUCAUGCACGUCACUAUUACUUGCUCAUCAUAUGUGUGUUUAACCUUUGCUAAAUCAUCCAAGAGGUUUACAGCACACAUGAUGAAUGAGAGUCGGCAGAAAAGGCCGUUUUCAACUUGAUUUGUUUUUCCAUCCAAUCUCACAGCAGCCCGGUCUCGUCCAUUAUAAUGUGUAUGAAUGUUGUUUAUCUGUUAUUUUCUAUGCAUAUGUUUGUUUUAUACUGUUUGUCUUGUAAAAAAGAGAAAACCGAGAAAGAUUCAUAAAAGCAUGUUGUACCCUGUUCACUGUCUUGGGUGUUUUUGUCUGUUUGUGCAUCUGUUCAACAGCAUUGAAAUCAUGAAUAAAAGAGGCCAGUUAUUCAUCUGUAACCCUCUCUGGUAAAGUCUGGCCAUAUAGCAACAUCAUUUUUGUCUCACUAUUCUAAAAUGCACACAUUUAAAAGCACAGAUUUUAAAGAAGCCAUUAAUACGUUUUAAAGCAACAUGACAUUUUGAUUUUUUUUUUUUUUUUUUUUAGAGAUUUUUGGUAUCACUCCUACAAAAAUGACAUGCUGAAUGAAG